rnacentral:rRNA from 1 species
CAGCCGUAAACUAUGCGCGUUAGGUGUAUCGGUGACCACGAGUUACCGAGGUGCCGAAGGGAAACCGUGAAACGUGCCGCCUGGGAAGUACGGUCGCAAGGCUGAAACUUAAAGGAAUUGGCGGGGGAGCACAACAACGGGUGGAGCCUGCGGUUUAAUUGGACUCAACGCCGGACAACUCACCGGGACGACAGCAAUAUGUAGGCCAGGCUGAAGACUCUGCAUGACUAGCUGAGAGGAGGUGCAUGGCGUAGACGUCU